rnacentral:rRNA from 1 species
CCUACGCGAGGCAGCAGUGAGGAAUAUUGGUCAAUGGGCGCUAGCCUGAACCAGCCAAGUAGCGUGAAGGAUGACUGCCCUCUGGGUUGUACACUUCUUUUAUAUGGGAAUAAAGUGCAGUAUGUAUACUGCUUUGCAUGUACCUUAUGCAUAAGGAUCGGCUAACUCCGUGCCAGCAGCCGCGGUAAUACGGAGGAUCCGAGCGUUAUCCGGAUUUCUUGGGUUUAAAGGGAGCGUAGGCGGGUUGUUAAGUCAGUUGUGAAAGUUUGCGGCUCAACCGUAAAAUUGCAGUUGAUACUGGCAUCCUUGAGUACAGUAGAGGUAGGCGGAAUUCGUGGUGUAGCGGUGAAAUGCUUAGAUAUCACGAAGAACUCCGAUUGCGAAGGCAGCCUGCUGGACUGUAACUGACGCUGAUGCUCGAAAGUGUGGGUAUCAAACAGGAUUAGAUACCCGGGUAGUC